CUAGCAUAUCAAUAAGCGGAGGAAAAGAAACUAACAAGGAUUCCCCUAGUAACUGCGAGUGAAGCGGGAAAAGCUCAAAUUUAAAAUCUGGCAGUCUUUGGCUGUCCGAGUUGUAAUCUAGAGAAGUGUUAUCCGCGCUGGACCGUGUACAAGUCUCCUGGAAUGGAGCGUCAUAGAGGGUGAGAAUCCCGUCUUUGACACGGACUACCAGGGCUUUGUGAUGCGCUCUCAAAGAGUCGAGUUGUUUGGGAAUGCAGCUCAAAAUGGGUGGUAAAUUCCAUCUAAAGCUAAAUAUUGGCGAGAGACCGAUAGCGAACAAGUACCGUGAGGGAAAGAUGAAAAGAACUUUGGAAAGAGAGUUAAACAGUACGUGAAAUUGCUGAAAGGGAAACGCUUGAAGUCAGUCGCGUCGUCCAGGGAUCAACCUUGCUUUUGCUUGGUGCACUUUCUGGUUGACGGGUCAGCAUCAAUUUUGACCAUUGGAAAAAUAUCAAGGGAAUGUGACAUCUUUGGAUGUGUUAUAGCCCUUGGUUGUAUACGAUGGUUGGGAUUGAGGAACUCAGCACGCCGCAAGGCCGGGUUUUUAACCACGUACGUGCUUAGGAUGCUGGCAUAAUGGCUUUAAUCGACCCGUCUUGAAACACGGACCAAGGAGUCUAACAUGCCUGCGAGUGUUUGGGUGGAAAACUCGAGCGCGUAAUGAAAGUGAAAGUUGAGAUCCCUGUCGUGGGGAGCAUCGACGCCCGGACCAGACCUUUUGUGACGGUUCCGCGGUAGAGCAUGUAUGUUGGGACCCGAAAGAUGGUGAACUAUGCCUGAAUAGGGUGAAGCCAGAGGAAACUCUGGUGGAGGCUCGUAGCGAUUCUGACGUGCAAAUCGAUCGUCAAAUUUGGGUAUAGGGGCGAAAGACUAAUCGAACCAUCUAGUA
rnacentral:rRNA from 1 species